GACGAACGCUGGCGGCGCGCCUAACACAUGCAAGUCGAACGGAGCUGUUUUCUCUGAAGUUUUCGGAUGGAAGAGAGUUCAGCUUAGUGGCGAACGGGUGAGUAACACGUGAGCAACCUGCCUUUCAGUGGGGGACAACAUUUGGAAACGAAUGCUAAUACCGCAUAAGACCACAGUGUCGCAUGGCACAGGGGUCAAAGGAUUUAUCCGCUGAAAGAUGGGCUCGCGUCCGAUUAGCUAGAUGGUGAGGUAACGGCCCACCAUGGCGACGAUCGGUAGCCGGACUGAGAGGUUGAACGGCCACAUUGGGACUGAGACACGGCCCAGACUCCUACGGGAGGCAGCAGUGGGGAAUAUUGCACAAUGGGGGAAACCCUGAUGCAGCGACGCCGCGUGGAGGAAGAAGGUCUUCGGAUUGUAAACUCCUGUCCCAGGGGACGA
rnacentral:rRNA from 1 species